AACCACAUGGAAGCAUGUCAUGGAGAAUGGACACAGGAAUGGUCUUGCGGUCAGUUGUGAUGGAGAUGAUCAGGACCAGCUAUCCCUAUCCUGGAUGCCUGGAGGACAGAGGCACAGAGGACUCUCCAAGGAAAUAGGAGAUUGUCUAUUAUUAGAUAGAAUUUUGUGCUCAAAUGGCCCUCAGACCUCCUACCCCUGAGAAGCUGGAAUUAACCUACUUAGCCAUAAGAUUCUCCUAGCCUCUUUCCUGCAAGUUGAGUCCAGAGACAGAUUUAAGUGGCCUUUUGUCAUUGCUCCUUUUACCCAGGCCAGCACCUGGAUAUUGGCCUUGUGGGUCUCUGCACACUGUGAGAACAGACAUGCCAAAGGGAGCAAAGAGAACCCUGCAACUCUGACUUGAAGCCCUUUCCACGACGUUUUCCCAUGGACGUUUUCACGUUUCUCACGUGGCUUCCUAGAAUUAGAAAGGCUAAAUAAUCUAGGCCACAGGUUCUCAAAUUUGGUUGUGUGAUGAAACCACCUGGCAGACUUAAAAACUACAGAUGCCUGGGCACCACCUCCAGAGAUUGUGAUUUCAUUGGUCUGGGUUUAUGGUCUGAGCAUCAGUUAAAAUCUCCCAGGUGACUCUAGUAGACAAACAAGGGCGAGGACAACUGAUCUAAGCCAGGGGUGAUACAAUAGCUGCAAACAAUGGGGUGACCCAAAAGAGCACAUGCAACCGAGAAAGAUAGUCAAGAGAUAGACACAAAAAAAAAUGAGGCAGUAAAUGACAGCAAACCCUGUGAAAGAGCUUUUUUAUUCUUUGCUGGACCACAAGGGUCCACUCCUCACUAAUUAUCUAAUCUAUUUCUUAACUCUGAUUGGAAGUGGGGAAUAGAUGAUUCUGCCACAAUCAGAUUUUUUUAGAUGUGUGAGUGUUUGCUUAUUGGUCUUUUUGACUUUAUUUAAAAAUGCAAACAAAUUAAUUUACUAUCACCAUUCUUUUCAACAAAAUUGAGGCUUGGUUGGUAUAAACGAACAGAGACAAACCUAUCCUUUGAAAGAGUAUUUUUAACAAUUACUGUAGGCAGUCAGGAUUCCUUAAAACAAAAAAAUUUUGGAACUUUUUAUUAGCAUAUCUAAUAGGAGCUUGCCUUUAUGAUCAAGAAAUAGCUAUGCACUCAAGAAACAUGACAAGAGGAAGGAACUCGGCACAUGUUAAUAUGCUUGUGUUGCAGGAAAUGAAACUCAACUCAAACAGUCCUAAACCAUAAAGAAGAGAUAUUGGCUUAUAGAAGACGGAAAAUCUAGACAAUUUUAGCCAGCUCCUCAUUUCUCUUCUGCUUCCCUGGAUGACUGAUAAAUCAGAGCAAUUGCUCUAACCUGCGUAAGAAUGGAUUUCCCUAUAUUUGUUUUAAGACUUCCCAGAAUGAUUCACUUUGCUACGACAAUUCUGUUGCAUUCGCAAAAUGUUAUGUGACACCGCUAAGUUCCAGGUAACACUCACCAGAGGAAAAAUAAAAGGCAAAACAAGUUUUGGAUAUGAAAUUAAUUGAGAAAAAGCCAGUCUAACUGUCAAAAGGGAAGAACCUUGAGAAGAAAGGCAGCUUCUAAAGGUCAACACUCAGCGUGCUGUAAUCUUUACCAUCUGUGUUCAAGCUGGUAAGAUUCUGAGACUCUCAUAUGCAGUCUUCUUUCUGAAAAUAACAGACAAGGAAGAAAAAGGCUUGCCCAACAGGGAGCCUGGAUGUACUUAGCUGGAUAGAAAACGAAAACACUAUAUGGUAUAAACUUAGAAUGACCCUUAAA